rnacentral:rRNA from 1 species
UGAGGAAUAUUGGUCAAUGGACGAGAGUCUGAACCAGCCAAGUAGCGUGCAGGAUGACGGCCCUAUGGGUUGUAAACUGCUUUUAUGUGGGGAUAAAGUGCGUGACGUGUCAUGCAUUGCAGGUACCACAUGAAUAAGGACCGGCUAAUUCCGUGCCAGCAGCCGCGGUAAUACGGAAGGUCCGGGCGUUAUCCGGAUUUAUUGGGUUUAAAGGGAGCGUAGGCUGUCUAUUAAGCGUGUUGUGAAAUAUACCGGCUCAACCGGUGGCUUGCAGCGCGAACUGGUCGACUUGAGUAUGCAGGAAGUAGGCGGAAUUCAUGGUGUAGCGGUGAAAUGCUUAGAUAUCAUGACGAACUCCGAUUGCGCAGGCAGCUUACUGUAGCAUAACUGACGCUGAUGCUCGAAAGUGCGGGUAUCAAACAGG